rnacentral:rRNA from 1 species
GUGGGGAAUUUUGGACAAUGGGCGCAAGCCUGAUCCAGCAAUGCCGCGUGCAGGAAGAAGGCCUUCGGGUUGUAAACUGCUUUUGUACGGAACGAAACGGUCCUGGUUAAUACCUGGGGCUAAUGACGGUACCGUAAGAAUAAGCACCGGCUAACUACGUGCCAGCAGCCGCGGUAAUACGUAGGGUGCAAGCGUUAAUCGGAAUUACUGGGCGUAAAGCGUGCGCAGGCGGUUUUGUAAGACAGGCGUGAAAUCCCCGGGCUCAACCUGGGAAUUGCGCUUGUGACUGGAAGGCUGGAGUGCGGCAGAGGGGGAUGGAAUUCCGCGUGUAGCAGUGAAAUGCGUAGAUAUGCGGAGGAACACCGAUGGCGAAGGCAAUCCCCUGGGCCUGCACUGACGCUCAUGCACGAAAGCGUGGGGAGCAAACAGGAUUAGAAACCCCGGUAGUCC